rnacentral:rRNA from 1 species
UACGAAGGGUGCAAGCGUUACUCGGAAUUACUGGGCGUAAAGGGUGCGUAGGUGGUUGUUUAAGUCUGCUGUGAAAGCCCCGGGCUCAACCUGGGAAUGGCAGUGGAUACUGGACAGCUAGAGUGCGGUAGAGGGUAGUGGAAUUCCCGGUGUAGCAGUGAAAUGCGUAGAGAUCGGGAGGAACACCAGUGGCGAAGGCGGCUCACUGGCCCGGUACUGACGCUGAGGUGCGAAAGCGUGGGGAGCAAACAGG